rnacentral:rRNA from 1 species
UAGGGAAUAUUGGACAAUGGGCGGAAGCCUGAUGCAGCAACGCCGCGUGAGGGACGAAGGCCUUCGGGUCGUAAACCUCUUUUCUGAGGGAAGAGACAAGGACGGUACCUCAGGAAUAAGUCUCGGCUAACUACGUGCCAGCAGCCGCGGUAAAACGUAGGAGGCGAGCGUUAUCCGGAAUUACUGGGCGUAAAGGGCAUGCAGGCGGCUUGGUAAGUUGGACGUGAAAGCUCCUGGCUUAACUGGGAGAGUGCGUUCGAAACUGCUGAGCUUGAGGCUGGGAGAGGGGUGUGGAAUUCCCGGUGUAGUGGUGGAAUGCGUAGAUAUCGGGAGGAACACCAGUGGCGGAAGCGGCACCCUAGACCAGACCUGACGCUGAUAUGCGAAAGCGUGGGGAGCAAACA